rnacentral:rRNA from 1 species
AAUUGAAGAGUUUGAUCAUGGCUCAGAUUGAACGCUGGCGGCAGGCCUAACACAUGCAAGUCGAACGGUAACAGGAAGCAGCUUGCUGCUUCGCUGACGAGUGGCGGACGGGUGAGUAAUGUCUGGGAAACUGCCUGAUGGAGGGGGAUAACUACUGGAAACGGUAGCUAAUACCGCAUAAUGUCGCAAGACCAAAGAGGGGGACCUUCGGGCCUCUUGCCAUCGGAUGUGCCCAGAUGGGAUUAGCUUGUUGGUGGGGUAACGGCUCACCAAGGCGACGAUCCCUAGCUGGUCUGAGAGGAUGACCAGCCACACUGGAACUGAGACACGGUCCAGACUCCUACGGGAGGCAGCAGUGGGGAAUAUUGCACAAUGGGCGCAAGCCUGAUGCAGCCAUGCCGCGUGUAUGAAGAAGGCCUUCGGGUUGUAAAGUACUUUCAGCGGGGAGGAAGGGAGUAAAGUUAAUACCUUUGCUCAUUGACGUUACCCGCAGAAGAAGCACCGGCUAACUCCGUGCCAGCAGCCGCGGUAAUACGGAGGGUGCAAGCGUUAAUCGGAAUUACUGGGCGUAAAGCGCACGCAGGCGGUUUGUUAAGUCAGAUGUGAAAUCCCCGGGCUCAACCUGGGAACUGCAUCUGAUACUGGCAAGCUUGAGUCUCGUAGAGGGGGGUAGAAUUCCAGGUGUAGCGGUGAAAUGCGUAGAGAUCUGGAGGAAUACCGGUGGCGAAGGCGGCCCCCUGGACGAAGACUGACGCUCAGGUGCGAAAGCGUGGGGAGCAAACAGGAUUAGAUACCCUGGUAGUCCACGCCGUAAACGAUGUCGACUUGGAGGUUGUGCCCUUGAGGCGUGGCUUCCGGAGCUAACGCGUUAAGUCGACCGCCUGGGGAGUACGGCCGCAAGGUUAAAACUCAAAUGAAUUGACGGGGGCCCGCACAAGCGGUGGAGCAUGUGGUUUAAUUCGAUGCAACGCGAAGAACCUUACCUGGUCUUGACAUCCACAGAACUUUCCAGAGAUGGAUUGGUGCCUUCGGGAACUGUGAGACAGGUGCUGCAUGGCUGUCGUCAGCUCGUGUUGUGAAAUGUUGGGUUAAGUCCCGCAACGAGCGCAACCCUUAUCCUUUGUUGCCAGCGGUCCGGCCGGGAACUCAAAGGAGACUGCCAGUGAUAAACUGGAGGAAGGUGGGGAUGACGUCAAGUCAUCAUGGCCCUUACGACCAGGGCUACACACGUGCUACAAUGGCGCAUACAAAGAGAAGCGACCUCGCGAGAGCAAGCGGACCUCAUAAAGUGCGUCGUAGUCCGGAUUGGAGUCUGCAACUCGACUCCAUGAAGUCGGAAUCGCUAGUAAUCGUGGAUCAGAAUGCCACGGUGAAUACGUUCCCGGGCCUUGUACACACCGCCCGUCACACCAUGGGAGUGGGUUGCAAAAGAAGUAGGUAGCUUAACCUUCGGGAGGGCGCUUACCACUUUGUGAUUCAUGACUGGGGUGAAGUCGUAACAAGGUAACCGUAGGGGAACCUGCGGUUGGAUCACCUCCUUAC